rnacentral:rRNA from 1 species
UCCUACGGGACGCAGCAGUGGGGAAUAUUGCACAAUGGGCGAAAGCCUGAUGCAGCAACGCCGCGUGAAGGAAGACGGUUUUCGGAUUGUAAACUUCUGUUCUUAGUGAAGAAUAAUGACGGUAACUAAGGAGCAAGCCACGGCUAACUACGUGCCAGCAGCCGCGGUAAUACGUAGGUGGCAAGCGUUGUCCGGAAUUACUGGGUGUAAAGGGAGCGUAGGCGGGAAGCCAAGUCAGCUGUGAAAACUACGGGCUUAACCUGUAGACUGCAGUUGAAACUGGCUUUCUUGAGUGAAGUAGAGGU